rnacentral:rRNA from 1 species
AAUCAACGCUGGCGGCGUGCCUCAGACAUGCAAGUCGAACGCGAAAUUUCCCUUCGGGGAGAAAGUAGAGUGGCGCACGGGUGAGUAACACGUAGGUAAUUUGCCUUUGGGUGGGGAAUAACUCAGGGAAACUUGAGCUAAUACCGCAUAAUGCAGCGGCUCGACAUCGAGACAGUUGUUAAAGCGGGGGAUUGGAGCAAUCCGACCUCGCGCCUAAAGAGAAGCCUGCGGCAGAUUAGCUAGUUGGUAAGGUAAUGGCUUACCAAGGCGACGAUCUGUAACCGGCCUGA